rnacentral:rRNA from 1 species
GAUGAACGCUGGCGGCGUGCCUAAUACAUGCAAGUCGAGCGAACAGACGAGGAGCUUGCUCCUCUGACGUUAGCGGCGGACGGGUGAGUAACACGUGGAUAACCUACCUAUAAGACUGGGAUAACUUCGGGAAACCGGAGCUAAUACCGGAUAAUAUAUUUAACCGCAUGGUUCAAUAGUGAAAGACGGUUUUGCUGUCACUUAUAGAUGGAUCCGCGCCUCAUUAGCUAGUUGGUAAUGUAACGGCUUACCAAGGCAACGAUGCAUGGCCGACCUGGGAGGGUGAUCGGCCACAAUGGAACUGAGACACGGUCCAGACUCCUACGGGAGGCAGCAGUAGGGAAUCUUCAGCAAUGGGCGAAAGCCUGACGGAGCAACGCCGCGUGAGUGAUGAAGGUCUUCGGAGCGUAAAACUCUGUUAUUAGGGAAGAACAAAUGUGUAAGUAACUAUGCACGUCUUGACGGUACCUAAUCAGAAAGCCACGGCUAACUACGUG